rnacentral:rRNA from 1 species
AUGUUCCCCGUCUUUCUGUUGCUUCUUUUGCUUCUCCGGUCGGCAUCGGCAACAACAUUCAGCCACUGGACUGAUGUGGAUGCCUUGUUGGCAUUCAAGGCAAGCAUAAACAACCAGCGGGGUGGUGUUCUAGAUGCAUGGAACACAAGUAAUACUACCACUACAUUCUGCCACUGGCCUGGUGUGGUUUGCAGCCAGCACAGCAGGGUCACGGCGCUUAACCUCACUUCCCAGGGCCUUGGUGGCAUAAUCACGCCUUCCAUUGGGAACCUCACAUUCUUGAAAACUCUAGACCUCAGCCUCAACAAUUUGGAUGGUGAAAUACCUCCAUCAAUUGCUCGUCUCUCUCAUCUGCGAUAUCUUGACUUGUCCAACAACUCACUUCAUGGUAAUAUACACCCUGGCUUGAACAAUUGCACCAGUCUUGAAAACAUCAACCUUGGAGCAAACCACUUCACCGGAGAAAUUUCCCCUUGGCUUGGGCUUGGAGGAUUGUCCAGUCUCAAGGUUAUACGACUAUGGAACAACAACUUCACUGGAACCAUCCCGCCAUCACUUACCAACCUCUCAGCACUGCAAAAUAUCGAUUUCACAACAAACCAAUUACAAGGUGACAUCCCUGAGGGCCUUGGUAGGAUCACUAGUCUCAACAUGAUUCAACUGGGUCAAAACCGCCUCUCAGGCAUCAUCCCUGCAACUUUCUUUAACCUUUCCUCUCUAACCGGUUUCAAUGUGGCGGUCAAUGAGUUGCAUGGUAAACUUCCCUCAAACUUGGGGGAUCGCCUCCCAAAUCUCAAGUACCUAUUACUCGGCUUGAACCACUUCACAGGAAACCUUCCGGCUUCUCUUGUCAAUGCAACUGAGAUUUAUACCUUAGAACUGUCAUCCAACAACUUCACCGGUAGAUUGCCUCGAGAGAUUGGAAUGCUCUGCCCGGACACCCUCAGUCUAGAAGUGAAUCAGCUAACGGCAGCUACUGCUAAGGACUGGGAGUUCAUGACCUUGUUGACAAACUGCACACGUCUCGGUACACUUGACCUUUAUUUCAACAAUUUAGGUGGCGUGCUGCCAAGCUCUGUUGCCAACCUAUCAGCACAACUCCGAGAGCUAGAUGUUGGAUACAAUCAGAUUUCUGGAAAGAUACCAUUUGGCAUAAGCCAUCUUGUUGGGUUAAAUCAACUGGACCUCUCAAAUAAUCGUUUUACCGGUUCCUUGCCCGACGACAUCGGGAGGCUAAAUCUGCUCCAGGCUUUGUAUUUCGAAAACAAUCUAUUCACAGGUUACUUGCCAUCCUCCCUCGGGAACUUGACACGGCUAGUAAUUCUUCCUGCAACCGGCAACAAGUUUGAGGGGCCGCUUCCAACAAGCCUAGGUAGCCUCCAGGAGAUGACUAUAGCAGACUUUUCACACAAUAGGUUCACAGGUCCAUUGCCUAAGGAGAUCUUUAACCUGUCGUCUCUGUCAAAUUUGCUAGACUUGUCUGACAAUUACUUUUUUGGUCCUCUUCCACCACAAGUCGGCAGCCUGACAAACCUUGCAUACCUAUAUGUAUCGAGGAACAACUUAUCAGGUCCCCUACCCAAUGAACUUAGCAACUGCCAAAGCCUGACAGAACUCAGAUUGGACCAUAACUCCUUCAACAGUAGCAUUCCCUCAUCUAUCAGCAAAAUGCAAGGUCUGAUGUUGCUAAAUCUUACAAAGAACACACUCUCUGGUGUGAUUCCUCAAGAGUUAGGGCUAAUGGGUGGCACUGGAGAGUUGUAUCUCGGACACAACAACCUUUCUGGCCAUAUCCCUGAAAGUUUGGAGAACAUGACAUCAUUAUACCGGUUAGACCUGUCAUUCAACCAUCUAGGUGGCAGAGUUCCAUCACGGGGCGUGUUCAGUAAUGCAUCUGGGUUUUUGUUUGGUGGUAAUUUGGGGCUUUGUGGUGGAAUAUUGGAGUUACAUUUGCCCCCAUGCCCGGCAGAAUCCAUGGGACAUGGUUUGAGGAAACACCAUUUCAUCACUACAGUAGUUAUCCCAAUUAUUGCUGGCAUAACUCUGUGUGUGAGUUUCGCACUUGUUUUCUUCACAAUGAGAAAGAGAUCGAAAGCUCGAUUGACAGCCGUACAAGGAUUUCAACUGAUGGAUGACCGUUAUCCAAGAGUUACUUAUGCUGAACUAGUCCAUGGAACAAGUGGCUUUGCUUCAGACAAUCUAUUGGGUGGAGGAAGGUAUGGAUCAGUGUACAAGUGCUGUUUGCUGCUAAGAAAUAUGAUGACCACAGUAGCUGUAAAGGUUUUUGAUCUUCAACAGGUUGGCUCUUCAAAAAUCUUUAUAGCUGAGUGUGAGGCACUUAGUAAGAUCCGCCAUCGUAAUCUGAUCAGCUUCAUAACUUGUUGUUCGAGCUCUGACACGAACCAAAACGACUUCAAAUCCAUUGUGUUCGAGUUCAUGCCUAAUGGGAGCCUAGACGGGUGGAUACACAUGGAUGUGCAUGCAUCACAUCAACUCCAAGGCAUGACAUUGAUGCAGAGAUUGAAUAUCGCAGUGGAUGUUGCUGAUGCGCUUGACUAUUUGCACAACAGCUGCGAACCACCAAUAAUUCACUGUGACUUGAAGCUGAGCAACAUUCUUCUCGACGAGGAUCUAGUCGCUCACGUCGGGGACUUGGGCCUCGCAAAGAUUCUUGCUGAACCAGCCGCGGAGCAACUGAUUAAUUCACAGAGCUCGGUUGGAAUACGAGGAACAAUUGGAUACGUCGCUCCAGAAUACGGCCAAGGUGGUCAAGUUUCUUCAUGCGGAGACGCAUACAGCUUUGGAAUUGUCAUCCUCGAGUUGUUUACAGGGAUGGCACCUACUCAUGACAUGUUCGGAGACGGGUUGACCUUGCAGAAGCAUGUAGAGGAUGCAAUUCCAGGGAUGCUAAUGCAGAUUGCUGAUCCAGUCCUGCUGUCCAUUGAAGAAGCUAACGCGAACACAGUGGAACAUGUCAGCAAUGCCAUAUUCUCCGUCAUGAAGGUUGCGCUAUCAUGCAGCAAGCAUAAUCCGACAGAGAGAAUGCGCAUCAGAGACGCGGCUGCUGCGAUUCACAGGAUAAGGGAUGCUCAUGCACAUUAA